rnacentral:tRNA from 1 species
AUGGCCGAAUUUGUUACGUUCUGUUAGGUCUUCGGACCAGAUUGUGGAUCUGGGGGUCCCCCGUUCGAGCCGGGGCGGCUGUACCA